rnacentral:rRNA from 1 species
CAACCUGCCGUCUACUCUUGGACAGCCUUCUGAAAGGAAGAUUAAUACAAGAUGGCAUCAUGAGUCCGCAUGUUCACAUGAUUAAAGGUAUUCCGGUAGACGAUGGGGACGCGUUCCAUUAGAUAGUAGGCGGGGUAACGGCCCACCUAGUCUUCGAUGGAUAGGGGUUCUGAGAGGAAGGUCCCCCACAUUGGAACUGAGACACGGUCCAAACUCCUACGGGAGGCAGCAGUGAGGAAUAUUGGUCAAUGGGCGAGAGCCUGAACCAGCCAAGUAGCGUGAAGGAUGACUGCCCUAUGGGUUGUAAACUUCUUUUAUAAAGGAAUAAAGUCGGGUAUGGAUACCCGUUUGCAUGUACUUUAUGAAUAAGGAUCGGCUAACUCCGUGCCAGCAGCCGCGGUAAUACGGAGGAUCCGAGCGUUAUCCGGAUUUAUUGGGUUUAAAGGGAGCGUAGAUGGAUGUUUAAGUCAGUUGUGAAAGUUUGCGGCUCAACCGUAAAAUUGCAGUUGAUACUGGAUGUCUUGAGUGCAGUUGAGGCAGGCGGAAUUCGUGGUGUAGCGGUGAAAUGCUUAGAUAUCACGAAGAACUCCGAUUG